AUGUCUGAGUGCCUAGGCGAGGAGCUUGUUUUUCAGAGUCAUGAACUUGGGGCUUGGUUUUGGGCGCAGUGUGUCAAGUCCCACGAAAAGUCUUUGAAACACCUCAAAUGUUUUGGAAACCUUGGAUGGAUACUCAAGAUUAAGUGCAUAUGUCAACCCAAGCAGCAAGCAGCAUGCUUUGGCCAGAUUUCCAAGAUUGGUAAGGACUGGCUCACGGCAGACAUAGAUGAUCAUAUUCUUCAUUUUCAGGUCCUCAUGAACAGUGGUCUCUGCAGCCCCCUUUGAGAUAAAAAAAUAAAGUAUUUAGACAAUCUCAUUUCUUGAUGAAAAACAAAUACUACACCACUACCUGCUAAAUGCUGGUUCAGUCAGUUCACAAUUUAAACCUGUUCACCAGACUGACCCAAACCUGCUUUGAAACAAUACUUACAAAGUAAUCAGAGAUGAGCUCUUGUCCACUCUCUCCCAUAUACUCAAAGAGGCAUCUCAGAGUGACAUCUCUCUUCUUCACUGCAGUGGCACUUGGGUCCUAGUUAAUAGAACAAUAAUUAAUAAAUUAUUUUUUGUUGGUAAAUUCACUCCAACCAUGUAAUGCCAUCAUUACCCUAGGUCUGUAAUAGUUUUUCUUUUUUAUUUAUUAUAAUAGAUAAAUAGUAAUAACACUUGAGACAGUUUUUCUUCUAAUUAGUCUAAUUAACAAACAGCAAGAUAACUGAAAAACAAACUACUGAAUUGAUUAAUAUUGUAUCUUUUAACUUAGUAACUACUUUUGACCCACCUGUAUCAGUUCCAUCAUCAAGUUUUUGAUGCGUUGACCAGUUGCUCCACCCUUGGCAUAGAACAUAGAACAUUGUUACAUUGUGAGCGUACACUUUUGUGAAAGAGGAACUAUGCCAGAUAUUUGCCUCAACUAUGCUUUACCAUAAUUAAACAGCUUUGGACUAAUUGAUAAUCACUCAGCUAACGUUAGCUGUGGCUUUGAGUGUAACCUUAGUGCGUCAGCGUCCACUACCAAACUAAUGUUAUAUCGAAGCCACGAAAAUGUUUUUGAAGUUACAAACACCUCUGAAACAUUAAACUGUAUCACACAAAGACAACAUUACGUAUACAGUGCACACACACGUAGAUUUAUACAGUAUGUGGUUCAAGUUAAGAGCUGUUUGAGAUAGAGCACAUUCGAAUUUGGCGGUCGCAGAUGUUUGUAGGAAACAGAGCGGUGCUUUUGCAGAUUGCACAACACAAACACGUUAAUUAGAGUAAAAUCAAACUUUUAAAAAUACAAAGAAUUACUUACGUGGGGAACUUGAAGUAUAAAUGAUCCGGCUCCGUGGAAAACCUUGUUCAAAUAAACUCAUGAAACAGACGAGCGUGAAGGACUUGCCCGGGCUUGUUCUUCCGUUGCUGCAGGUGGGCGGGUCGUGUCUUUUUACGUCUGGUAUAAACUUUUAAAAUGAGUUUUGUAAAAUCAAUUUAUGUUGAAGUCCAAUUAAAUUAAUUUUAUUAUAGAAAAUAUUAAGUUACGAAAAUAUUCACACUUUUUUACUUAUUGAUAACUCAAAAAAACAAAGAAAGAAAAAUAAAUUAAUUUAUUGGAAUAAAUAUAGUUUUUAAAAUGAAGUCAUAUGGACAAUAGCACUGAACGACUUUUUGGGGCUCCUUUUGCCUGAAUUACUGCAGCAAUGCAGUGUGGCAUGGAGUCAAUCAGUCUGUGGCACUGCUCAGGUGUUAUGAGAGCCCAGGUUGCUCUGAUAGUGGCCUUCAGCUCUUCUGCAUUCUUGGGUCUGUGUGUAGUGGUUCUUGAAGCACUGACUCCAGCUGCAGUCCACUCUUUGUGAAUCUUCCCCACAUUUUUGAAUGGGUUUUGUUUCACAAUCCUCUCCAGGGUGUGGUUAUCCCUAUUGCUUGUACACUUUUUUCUAUCACAUCUUUUCCUUCCCUUCGCCUCUCUAUUAAUGUGCUUGAACACAGAGCUCUGUGAACAGCCAGCCUCUUUUGCAAUGACCUUUUGUGUCGUGCCCUCCUUGUGCAAGGUUUCAAUGGCCGUCUUUUGGACAACUGUCAAGUCAGCAGUCUUCCCCAUGAUUGUGUAGCCUACAGAACUAGACUGAGAGACCAUUUAAAGGCCUUUGAAGGUGUUUUGAGUUAAUUAGCUGAUUAGAGUGUGGCACCAGGUGUCUUCAAUAUUGAACCUUUUCACAAUAUUCUAAUUUUCUGAGAUACUGAAUUUGGGAUUUUCCUUAGUUGUCUGUUAUAAUCAUCAAAAUUAAAAGAAAUAAACAUUUGAAAUAUAUCAAUCUGUGUGUAAUGAAUGAAUAUAAUAUACAAGUUUCACUUUUUGAAUGGAAUUAGUGAAAUAAAUCAACUUUUUGAUGAUAUUCUAAUUAAAUGACCAGUACAUGUAUAUAUCAUUACUUAUAUAUUAGUACCACAUUAAAU
ensembl:lncRNA